GACGAACGCUGGCGGCGUGCUUAACACAUGCAAGUCGAACGAAGAGCGAUGGAAGCUUGCUUCUAUCAAUCUUAGCGGCGAACGGGUGAGUAACGCGUAAUCAACCUGCCCUUCAGAGGGGGACAACAGUUGGAAACGACUGCUAAUACCGCAUACGAUCUAAUCUCGGCAUCGAGGAUAGAUGAAAGGUGGCCUCUACAUGUAAGCUAUCACUGAAGGAGGGGAUUGCGUCUGAUUAGCUAGUUGGAGGGGUAACGGCCCACCAAGGCGAUGAUCAGUAGCCGGUCUGAGAGGAUGAACGGCCACAUUGGGACUGAGACACGGCCCAGACUCCUACGGGAGGCAGCAGUGGGGAAUCUUCCGCAAUGGACGAAAGUCUGACGGAGCAACGCCGCGUGAGUGAUGACGGCCUUCGGGUUGUAAAGCUCUGUUAAUCGGGACGAAAGGCCUUCUUGCGAAUAGUGAGAAGGAUUGACGGUACCGGAAGAGAAAGCCACGGCUAACUACGUG
rnacentral:rRNA from 1 species